CACCUCACGCCGACCUCAAGUGGGGAAUGAGAUAUCCCAGGACAGCCUUCAGCGUGAAGAUCUAAUCAGCUUCAAUCCCCCAGUGAUGGAGGGUUUGGAUGCUCAGCUUGCAAAAUCCAAGCAUUUAGCAAAGAGGAUCGAUCAGGAUAUGGAUGG